UACGUAGGGUGCAAGCGUUAAUCGGAAUUACUGGGCGUAAAGAGCUCGUAGGCGGUUUGUCGCGUCUGCCGUGAAAGUCCGGGGCUUAACCCCGGAUCUGCGGUGGGUACGGGCAGACUUGAGUGAUGUAGGGGAGACUGGAAUUCCUGGUGUAGCGGUGAAAUGCGCAGAUAUCAGGAGGAACACCGAUGGCGAAGGCAGGUCUCUGGGCAUUAACUGACGCUGAGGAGCGAAAGCAUGGGGAGCGAACAGG
rnacentral:rRNA from 1 species